rnacentral:tRNA from 1 species
GCGUCCGUUGUCUAGGGGUUAUGAUGGAUCCCUGCCACGGAUCCGGCCCGGGUUCGAAUCCCGGCGGACGCACCA